ACUUUUGGAUUUAAUUAUAAUUUUAGUAGAGUUUGGUUUUAAUUGAAAUAUAUAGGGUUUAUUAUUGUAAUAGAAUAAAUUUAUUUAUUUAUAGGGUAGAGUAUAGAGAUAGAAAAUUUCAAAGUAAAGAAAAGAAGAUUUGAUUUUUCGUACCUUGUGUAUCAGGGUUUACUAAAAAAAGUUAAUUAUUUAGUUUUCUCGAAUCAUGAAGAGUUAUGGGUUUAUAUUUUUUAAUGUAGCAUAAUUAUUAUGGAUAAAUCCAUAGAAAUGAAACGUUAUUCGUUUCAUGAUAUAUCUAGUUUCUUAAGAAAUUAAUAUAAUUUAGUAUCUAUUUAAUAUUAUGGUGUUUUUUAACUUUUAUAUUGAUAGGUAAAAAUAAUUAAAGGGAUGAGCUUUUAAUUAGACUACUAAAAUUUAAUAUUUUAUGAUAAUAAGUAGGAUUAGAAUUUUCCAUUUUUAAAAGAAUGUUAUAAUUAGUUAUUAUAUAGUAAUUAUUUAUAUAGAAUUUAGGUUAUUUAUUAAGAUAGAUUCUUGAAUUUAAUUUGAUUGGGGAUAAUGGUAAAAUUAGUAAAUUUUAAUUGUAGGAAUUUUCAGGUUAGGGAGGUUAUCAUAAGGAAUUCGGCAAUAGAUUUCUCACCUGUUUAGUAAAAACAUGGCUUUUUGUUAAUUAUUUAAGGUCUGGCCUGCUCAAUGAUGGAUUAAUUGAAUAGCCGCAGUAUUUUGACUGUGCAAAGGUAGCAUAAUCAUUAGUUUUUUAAUUGAAAGCUGGCAUGAAUGGUUGGAUGAGGAAAUAACUGUCUCAUGGAUAAUUUGAAUUUAAUUUUAUUUUUGAGUAAAAAAGCUCAAAUUUUAUAUAAAGACGAGAAGACCCUAUAGAGUUUAAUAGGCUAAGAUAUAUAGGAGUUUAGGAUUUAAAUUUUUGGUAUUAAUUCCUAUUUGGUUGGGGUGACAAUAGAAUUGAAUGAACUUCUUUAUGUUUUUACAUUGAUUAAUGAUUGAUUGAUCCUUUUUUGAAGAUUAAAAGAAAAAAUUACCUUAGGGAUAACAGCGUUAUUCUUUCAGAGAGUUCUAAUCGAUGAAAGGGAUUGCGACCUCGAUGUUGGAUUAAAGUUGAUUUCUGGUGCAGAAGCUAGGAUAUUGAGUCUGUUCGACUUUUGAAACUUUACAUGAUCUGAGUUUAAACCGGCGUGAGCCAGGUUGGUUUCUAUCUUUUAUAAAUCAAAUAUUUUAGUACGAAAGGACCAAAUAUUUAAAUAAAAUUUUAAUAUAUGAAUAAAAGUA
rnacentral:rRNA from 1 species